AAACUGAAGAGUUUGAUCAUGGCUCAGAUUGAACGCUGGCGGCAGGCUUAACACAUGCAAGUCGAGCGGUAACAGAGAGU
rnacentral:rRNA from 1 species